rnacentral:rRNA from 1 species
AACGAACGCUGGCGGCAUGCCUAACACAUGCAAGUCGAACGAGACCUUCGGGUCUAGUGGCGCACGGGUGCGUAACGCGUGGGAACCUGCCCUUAGGUUCGGAAUAACUCCCCGAAAGGGGUGCUAAUACCGGAUAAUGUCUUCGGACCAAAGAUUUAUCGCCUUUGGAUGGGCCCGCGUUGCUUUAGCUGGUUGGUAGGGUAAAAGCCUACCAAGGCGACGAUCCAUAGCUGGGAUGAGAGGAUGAUCAGCCACACUGGGACUGAGACACGGCGCAGACUCUUACGGGAGGGAGCAGUGGGGAAUAUUGGAAUACGGGCGGAGGCAUGAACGAGCUAUGCCGCGUGAGUGAUGAAGGCCUUAGGGUUGUAAAGCUCUUUUACCCGGGAUGAUAAUGACGGUACCGGGAGAAUAAGCACCGGCUAACUCCGUG